UUUACCGCAAAACUAAGUCAUUUAAUUAGUGGGAGAUUGCUUAUGUAUUUUCGCUGAUCGAAAGAAGCGAAAUACAUUUAUCCGACGAUUUUCUUCCAUCAUCGGCGUGAAGUCGACCAUGUGAAACAUCGAGGCAUAACCAAAGAUUUGGAGCGGAAAACGAAUUGCAUGAAUAUUAUCGGCCAAUAAGAACAAAUGAGCUCCAUCGAAGAUAUUCUAGUGCAUUAAGUUUGAAGGUGAGGUCGGCCGAAUAGAAGCUAGGCUUUAGUUUAAAAAAAGAACAACCGCGUGUGUUUUUUCAUUCAUUUGUUUUCUGGGCAACGACAACUUUAUAAAAAUUAGCGAGCUAGCAAAAAAUAUUGAAAUGUUCCGGUGCCGACGACUGAAUUAAAAACCUAAUGUUUCUGUGAACAGUACAGUGUAUUUGUUGACAUGUACGUUGCCGCUUAUUCAAAACUAUUUCAACCUAU